UUGAAAAUCUCAUUUACU
rnacentral:snRNA from 1 species